CAUCAUAGUUGGUUUAAGAUUUGGAGUAGGCUUAUUCAGUACUAGCAGACACACCAUAGUUUGACCGGUGUAGUUCCCGUUCCUGUGGGAAUAUGGGGUAGCACAGAGUAAUACGGGCUAUAUUUUAUAUAGCCUAUAUUACUCUGUGCUGUAGCUUACCAAUGGUGAAAGAUUUUUUAUAAUCAGUCCAGUAGUAUUUGUGUUAGAUUGUAAGAAACAAAUAAUAUUAUCUAAAGAUCGGUCACUGUCAUCCUAAGAACCUAAAUUAAACCAUUGAAUAUUAUUUACAGGUCUUGGCAGCUUUAAACUUUUAUGCCAAUGGAUCAUACAAAUGGCUUUGUGAUGGCUAAGGCAUCUUUUAGCAAAUGCCUACAUGAAGUCGCUGACGCUCCUGAAUACCCCAGCUGUUUAAAAAAAAUGUGUUAAGUUCCCUUUGCAUUAAACACAAAAUCAUUAUAAAUAAAUAUGUGAUGCCAAUCUAAUAAUAACAUAGUGGAUGCUCAAUUUGGUGGUGCAUCUUAUGACUUGUACAUAUGGAACCAGUGCAAUAAGAUCACUUGAGGAAAACCUGCCCAAUAGGGACCGCUGUUGGUUGUUAGGUGACCAAUGUUUGCAUGAUGACCCCCAUCUUGGGAGCUGCUCCUAGAUCCCAUGAAGAUAUGCACAACAUUGCUGUGUCAGAAAUACGGUGGAGCCUUGUAGUUGGGUGCAUAUUGUAAAAUGUUUCCUCACUCCAAAACCAUGAACUCUGGUUUCCUAAACCCUCAAGCUAUGCAGCCGAAGGAGGAGACUUAUCACAGGAGAAUCACUAAUAAUUUUGAAGAAGUGAAGAGCUUAACAAUGUUUCAACCAACACCUAAAGAAGCUUUCACUUGGCUGUUAGAUCAAGGGCUGGAUACAGAAAACAGUAAUCCUUGUGAUGGCAGUAUUGUCCAAGGAUUCCUCACUCAAAACCAUGAUAACAAGUUGCUAGAACCCUCAAGCUAUGCAGACAAAGGACUGGAUAUAUUUUUUCGUGACCAAGCCUUCUGUAUAAUUAUUUAUACUUAAACCAUACAAAGCACUAUCUAGCCCCAAAGUAGGCAUACAGAGUAGCUUGUGUUGUGGGUACUAAGAUAGUUGAUAUUAUAAUAUUCAUUUACAUUUAUAUACUACCUAUAAAUACUUAUAUAAUGUAUAAAUACACACACACUGGAAAAAACCCAUGCUCUUCACACAAAUAUUUUCCAGGUGUGGGAAUCAAACCCAUGACCGUGGAUGCAGGAGCACUACUUACUGCGCCACGCGUAUGUGUUUUUAUUUUGAAGCAAAUUAUUAAAGUUGAUAAUUCAAAUUGUAGUCAUGUUUUUAAUUAAUCUAUAAUUAAUUUUUAAUUUACAUUUUUGUUAAAUAUUUACCUAUACUUCAGUCUAUUUUUGUUAGAGGGGGUACCUAUAUGUGUAAGUAGGGUCGUUUCUUGAUUAAAUUAAACUAAAGAAUGAAAGAUAUAUAUUAUAACAAAAUUUGUCAACAACAAUAUAUCAAGUCUGAAUAAAAAAUACCAACACAAGUAAA